rnacentral:ncRNA from 2 species
CACUAUAUGAGCUAUCUUGGUUCUUGCGGGGGUGACUCGCAAGCUAAGAGGGAAGCCGGUGAGAUUCCGGGACUGCCCCCGCAACUGUAAGCAGCAAGCGGGCUCUCAUUUAUGCCACUGGAUCGUAUUCCGGGAAGGUAGAGAGCCUGUGCCAGAGCUGUGAAGUCAGGAGACCUGCCAAGGGACAUUUUAACAA